rnacentral:sRNA from 2 species
GUGCGGUGCGUCUAGGGUUCCGGCGUCGAACGACGUGUCUGGUCCGAGAGACGCAAGCCCUGCCGGUGGCGGGGUUACACGGCGGGCCAAAAUCCCGGGAGGA